UACAGAGGGUGCGAGCGUUAAUCGGAAUUACUGGGCGUAAAGCGCACGUAGGUGGCGACGUAAGUCGGGUGUGAAAGCCCCGGGCUCAACCUGGGAAUUGCAUUCGAGACUGCAUUGCUGGAGUACGGAAGAGGAAGGCGGAAUUCCCGGUGUAGCGGUGAAAUGCGUAGAUAUCAGGAGGAACACCGGUGGCGAAGGCGGCCCUCUGGACGGUGACUGACGCUGAGACGCGAAAGCGUGGGGAGCAAACAGG
rnacentral:rRNA from 1 species